UACGUAGGUGGCAAGCGUUGUCCGGAUUUACUGGGCGUAAAGAGCGCGCAGGCGGUCGUCCAAGUUGCGUGUGAAAGCCCCCGGCUCAACUGGGGAGGGUCACUCGAUACUGAUCGACUUGAAGGCAGGAGAGGGAAGCGGAAUUCCCGGUGUAGUGGUGAAAUGCGUAGAUAUCGGGAGGAAUACCGAUGGCGAAGGCAGGUCUCUGGGCUGAAACUGACGCUCAUGCACGAAAGCGUGGGGAGCAAACAGG
rnacentral:rRNA from 1 species